rnacentral:lncRNA from 1 species
UGGCUGUGGUCGGAGUAGGAGAAAAACUCACCCCUAUAUUCCUUAGACUUAGCUGGUGUGAGGGUCUUUUCAGAAACAUUAUGCACCAUGGAAUCUUCUCCCGUGGAAACGGUGGACACAGGACUGAGUCCUCUCUUUAAUUCAUGACUCUUGCAUUCCGUGGGACUUUCCCCGUUGGUGGCAAUAUCAGACCUCAGAAGACUUUCUGGAUCGCCUAGCAAACUAUCUAACCAGGUGUCCUCUAUACAGGCUUCUCCGAAAUUGGAGUUCCAGAAGCCAUCCUUGGAUAACAUCUCUAUAAUCUCCUGGGAGAAUCCUUCUUCGAAGAAAUCCUCCAUCAGAGGAGAGUUCUUGGUCUCAGUCACAUCUGAAAGAGCAAGUGCAAAUGUCUCCUGUUCACUAAGGCUCCCAGGACAAGGGGAUGGAAGCCAGCGAGAAGCAGAGUGAAGUCCUGAAGCUGAGCGUUGUAAUGUCUCGGUAGACCUGUGGGAAAGCUGGCUGCAGCCUCAGGAUGGAGGU